rnacentral:rRNA from 1 species
GACGAACCGUGCGAACGUUGUUCGGAAUUAUUGGGCGUAAAGGGUAGGUAGGUGGUCUCAUUUGUCUGAGGUGAAAGCCUUGAGCUUAACUCAAGAAGUGCCUCAGAAACGGUGAGACUAGAGUUCUGGAGAGGGUCGUGGAAUUCCCGGUGUAGCGGUGAAAUGCGUAGAGAUCGGGAGGAACACCGGCGGCGAAGGCGGCGAUCUGGGUCGAUACUGACGCUGAGACGCGAAAGCGUGGGGAGCAAACAGG